rnacentral:rRNA from 1 species
AGUAAUAUAUCGGAACGUGCCCAGUCGUGGGGGAUAACGUAGAGAAAUUUACGCUAAUACCGCAUACGAUCUACGGAUGAAAGCGGGGGAUCGCAAGACCUCGCGCGAUUGAAGCGGCUGAUAUCAGAUUAGGUUGUUGGUGAGGUAAAAGCUCACCAAGCCGACGAUCUGUAGCUGGUUUGAGAGAACGACCAGCCACACUGGGACUGAGACACGGCCCAGACUCCUACGGGAGGCAGCAGUGGGGAAUUUUGGACAAUGGGCGAAAGCCUGAUCCAGCAAUGCCGCGUGCAGGAAGAAGGCCUUCGGGUUGUAAACUGCUUUUGUACGGAACGAAACGGUCCUUUCUAAUAAAGAGGGCUAAUGACGGUACCGUAAGAAUAAGCACCGGCUAACUACGUGCCAGCAGCCGCGGUAAUACGUAGGGUGCGAGCGUUAAUCGGAAUUACUGGGCGUAAAGCGUGCGCAGGCGGUUCUAUAAGACAGAUGUGAAAUCCCCGGGCUCAACCUGGGAAUGGCAUUUGUGACUGUAGAGCUAGAGUACGGUAAAGGGGGGAUGGAAUUCCGCGUGUAGCAGUGAAAUGCGUAGAUAUGCGGAGGAACACCGAUGGCGAAGGCAAUCCCCUGGACCUGUACUGACGCUCAUGCACGAAAGCGUGGGGAGCAAACAGGAUUAGAUAC